UGAGGAAUAUUGGUCAAUGGGCGCGAGCCUGAACCAGCCAAGUCGCGUGAGGGAAGACGGCCCUACGGGUUGUAAACCUCUUUUGUCAGGGAGCAACGGCCGCCACGCGUGGCGGAGAGGAGAGUACCUGAAGAAAAAGCAUCGGCUAACUCCGUGCCAGCAGCCGCGGUAAUACGGAGGAUGCGAGCGUUAUCCGGAUUUAUUGGGUUUAAAGGGUGCGUAGGCGGGAAGUUAAGUCAGCGGUAAAAUUGAGGGGCUCAACCCCUUCGAGCCGUUGAAACUGGCUUUCUUGAGUGGAAGAGAAGUAUGCGGAAUGCGUGGUGUAGCGGUGAAAUGCAUAGAUAUCACGCAGAACCCCGAUUGCGAAGGCAGCAUACCGGCUUCCGACUGACGCUGAAGCACGAAAGCGUGGGGAUCGAACAGG
rnacentral:rRNA from 1 species